CGGACGGAUGAGUAAUGUCUGGGAAACUGCCCGAUGGAGGGGGAUAACUACUGGAAACGGUAGCUAAUACCGCAUAACGUCGCAAGACCAAAGAGGGGGACCUUAGGGCCUCUUGCCAUCGGAUGUGCCCAGAUGGGAUUAGCUAGUAGGUGGGGUAACGGCUCACCUAGGCGACGAUCCCUAGCUGGUCUGAGAGGAUGACCAGCCACACUGGAACUGAGACACGGUCCAG
rnacentral:rRNA from 1 species